rnacentral:misc_RNA from 1 species
UACGUACCGGACGAACGUUAUUCGGAAUUACUGGGCUUAAAGAGUGCGUAGGCGGCCUUGAAGGUGGGGUGUGAAAGCCCACGGCUCAACCGUGGAAUUGCGCUCCAAACCGCAAGGCUUGAGGGAGACAGAGGUGAGCGGAACUGAUGGUGGAGCGGUGAAAUGCGUUGAUAUCAUCAGGAACACCCGUGGCGAAGGCGGCUCACUGGGUCUCUUCUGACGCUGAGGCACGAAAGCUAGGGGAGCGAACGGG